rnacentral:lncRNA from 1 species
GCAACAAAACAAUCUAACCUGCCAUGAGUCAUAUGUCGCGUUUACAAAGAAGAUUGGUGUGGUGAUUUGUGAUACAACAUAUUGAGGGAAAAAUCACUGCAACAUAGUUNNNNNNAAAGUAUUGUGAUUUAAAAAGAUUUAGAUAAAAAAACAAAAGAGGUAGAGAGGAUGAUAUGAAAAUAGAUGAACUUUGAAUAUAUCAAGAGUAUUGCACAACAUAAUAUGCAAAACAACUUGAGUUAGGGAGUAGUGCAGAUUUUGGAUUCUCAAUUUGAGAACAAAGCCAUCGACAACAAAGUAAAAAUUUACUGAAAAAAAAUAUUGGCAUUACAAAAAUUAUAAGAGAGAUGCAUUGCAACCCUGCCACAGUGUUAUGAAACAUAUUGAGGGGAAUUAUGAGAGAGAUGCAUUGCAACUCAUGAUUGAUAAACGAAACCACUUUUCUGGAAAAAAUGAAAACAAAGUAAAGUUAGAAGAUUGAAAUGCAAUAGAAAUUAUGUCAAUUUUCCACACUAAAAAAUGGAAAAAAUAAAAAUAAAAAUAUAAUGGGAAUUAGAUGUUCUCACCGUAAAAUGUAGUAUCUCAGAUCACCUCCUUCAAAUCUCAAGUCACCCUCUCACGAUCCCUCUCAUCCUCUCAAAAUUCCUUCAAAUUGAAGUUUCGUCUUUCUAAAUUUUCAGCAACCGAACUUUCAAGAAAAUAAGAAGAAAAUAGCAGUUGGAGAAUUGGAGAAAUAAAGGGAAGGAAACCGCUGCCAAGAGGUUACUAUGUUACGCGGGAUGUUGUUUUGAUUGGAGGGGUAUAUGAAAGUAUUUGAAUUUUGAAAAAAGGGUAAAGUUGGAAAAUAGAGCAGCAUCACCUUGGUAGUAUAUGGGGACAGACAAAAAUAAAACCCAAAACACAGGGAAACUACAANNNNNNNNNNNNNNNNNNNNNNNNUAUACGCACAUAAAUACCUGCGAGAGUUAUGGAGGAUUGAAGUAAAAAUGUUUAGACUUUUUUUUAGCAUCAAGAAAAUGAAAAGGAUUAUAUCAUUAUUUGUU